rnacentral:rRNA from 1 species
CGGGGUGCACCAGGCGCGAAAACUUUACAAUGCUGGAAACAGCGAUAAGGGGACCUCGAGUGCCAGGUUACAAAUCUGGCUGUCGUGAUGCCUAAAAAGCAUUGCAUAGCAAGGGCCGGGCAAGACCGGUGCCAGCCGCCGCGGUAACACCGGCGGCUCGAGUGGUAACCGUUAUUAUUGGGUCUAAAGGGUCUGUAGCCGGCCGGAUAAGUCUCUUGGGAAAUCCAGCAGCUCAACUGUUGGGCUUUCAGGAGAUACUGUCUGGCUCGAGGCCGGGAGAGGUGAGAGGUACUUCAGGGGUAGGGGUGAAGUCUUGUAAUCCUUGAAGGACCACCAGUGGCGAAGGCGUCUCACCAGAACGGACCUGACGGCAAGGGACGAAAGCUAGGGGCACGAACCGGAUUAGAUACCCGGGUAGUCCUAGCCGUAAACGAUACUCGCUAGGUGUCGGCCACGGUGCGACCGUUGUCGGUGCCGUAGGGAAGCCGUGAAGCGAGCCACCUGGGAAGUACGGCCGCAAGGCUGAAACUUAAAGGAAUUGGCGGGGGAGCACAAGGGCGAUUCGC